rnacentral:lncRNA from 1 species
AGAGCGCCGAGCGCAUCGAAUAAAACUCGGAGCCUGCUGAGCGCGGGAGCUGGCACUUAUUUAUUGAGAAUUUGCUAUGUCCCAGCCUUGCCCUAGAAGCUUACAAACAUUAUUUCACUUAAUCCUCACUGUAUUCCUGUCGCAUUUUGCAGAAGAGAACCAGGCUGAGAGAAGUUAAGUGACGUGCCCAAGGAUACACAGCGCUCUUCAAGGGUACCCGAAGCGAAUUUGCACCAAAGCAGCAGCUGCGUUGCUGCAGUUCUAUCUUCACCUUCACGAUGUUUCUCUUGGUCAAAAACACACUCAAGUCGUCUCCAAGUUCGAAGCAUUCAGCAAACAAUGGCAAGGCAGAGCCACCAGAAAGGUGUGGCUGUCAGAGGAGGACUGCUGGAUUGUGCCACGUGGAGCCAGGCAGAAGCCAUACACAGCUGGUUGCUACAGCAAGUGGAGCAGACCAAGUGUCCGGCUGCAGAAGAGGUGUCUAAUAGAAGGAGACAGCAGUGAGCAAAGCAGAGUGUGCCUCUGACCUCACGAAGCAGACACCCUAGUUGGGGGUGUGUGCUGGGAGUUUCCAAGACCACUCCCAGGUUCAAUGAUUCAUUAGGAGGACUCACAGGACUCAGUACGGCAGUGGUGCUCAUCACUAUGAUUUGUUAUGGUGAAAGGAUGCCAAACUAGAUCAGCAAAAGGAAAAGGCAUAUGGAGCGAAGUCCAGAGGAAACCAAGUGUGCAGGAUUUCAGACGAGUAGCCACCUGGAUGAGAUACUGAUUUUCCUGCUGAGUAGGAGUUGAAACAGAAUGGAGGGUGGAGAGAAAGGAACCAGAAACAUGGAAGAAAACUGGAACCAGCUCACACAGAGCAUCUGAGGAGGAGAGGGAAGAAAAGCCUGCAGGAGCCCCUUUUGCCCUUGACUGCCCUGUCCUGGAAGUGACCCCUCACUUCUGCUCAGAUUCCAUCAGUGAGAACGAGGCACAGGGACCCACCGAGACACCAAUGGGCUGUGGGCUGAGGAAGAGAUUGAGAAACUGAGGUCGUGGGAGAUGAAGUCAUUUUCCUAAGGUCCCAUAGCUGGUGGGGAAAAUGAGGCCCACAAGAAGGACAUCCCUUAUCAGUGGUGGGACCAGGACACAUAAGCCCAGGGCUGUCUGACUCCAAGAUCACUUCUCUUUCUCCUCCUGGAUUCUGAGACUGAUGGAAAGAGGGGCUCUCCAGGCUCUACCUUGAAG